UACGUAGGGACCGAGCGUUGUCCGGAUUCAUUGGGCGUAAAGAGCUCGUAGGCGGCUGUUCAAGUCGAACGUGAAAACUCGGAGCUCAACUCCGAGCCUGCGUUCGAUACUGGACGGCUAGAGUCCGGAAGAGGAGAGUGGAAUUCCUGGUGUAGCGGUGAAAUGCGCAGAUAUCAGGAAGAACACCAAUGGCGAAAGCAGCUCUCUGGGACGGUACUGACGCUGAGACGCGAAAGCGUGGGGAGCGAACAGG
rnacentral:rRNA from 1 species